rnacentral:misc_RNA from 1 species
UUUCCGUAGGUGAACCUGCGGAAGGAUCAUUAUUGAAUGAACUUGCUGUGGUUAUUGCUGGCACUUUUGGGGAAAUGUGCACACCCACCAUCCUCAGCACUCCACCUAUGCACCUCUUGUAGACCUGGGAUAGAUUUUCCGAGGCAACUCGAUCUGGAGGAAUGCUGCCCUAAGCUUUCUUUGUUUUCCCUGGUCUUUGUUUUUCAUAUACCCUAUAGCAUGUAACAGACUGUACCAUUUGGGCGCUUGCUCCCUAUAAACCUUAUACAACUUUCAGCAACGGAUCUCUUGGCUCUC